UACGAAGGGGGCUAGCGUUGUUCGGAAUUACUGGGCGUAAAGCGCGCGUAGGCGGAUUUUUAAGUCAGGGGUGAAAUCCCAAGGCUCAACCUUGGAACUGCCUUUGAUACUGGAAGUCUCGAGUCCGGGAGAGGUGAGUGGAACUGCGAGUGUAGAGGUGAAAUUCGUAGAUAUUCGCAAGAACACCAGUGGCGAAGGCGGCUCACUGGCCCGGAACUGACGAUGAGGUGCGAAAGCGUGGGGAGCAAACAGG
rnacentral:rRNA from 1 species